rnacentral:lncRNA from 1 species
CCCCCGGAGACUGUCGCCGUCGUCGGAAACUGGGGAUUUCGAAAAAUCUUAUUUUCUCACUUGUUUCUUCAUCAUUUUCCACAAAAUUGGUACCAAAAUGAAGCUAAUAACAUGUAGAAUCAUGUUAUAUAAGUUUCAAGGCUUAAAAUCUACUAGGUUUUCCCUAAGAAAGCUCGAUAGUUCAACUUACCUAGAUAUACAUCGAUCUCAGCCUUCCGACGUCCAAUUCCUUCCAACGAAGUACCCUGAGACUCGUGAGGACCUCCUUAAGCUUCCUAUAAGCUUCAAAUUCCCUGAAACACAAGAUUUCACGUAUGCAUGAACUGUGACAAAAUCGGAGCUAGGGUUUCCACGUGAAAUCGAAGGUUUCCUUACCUAAAAAUAGUACCAAUCGAAUCAUCUGAGCUUCACGAACACAAUGGUGUGUUUCACACCCUCGAUCUGUCAUGCUUCAGUGGGUUUUGGGUGUCGUCCGUACAAAAGAGAAGAGAGAGUGAGUCUGAGAGAGAGAGAGCACGGGAGAGGAGAGAGAGAAUGAGGUUCGUGUGUGUGUGUUUCCCACGUGGUCACCAACCAACCAAGAACAUGACAUCCAAGUACCAAAAUAUGUCACACACACAUACACUACAAUUUCAACGUCUAAGGAUAAAACUGUCCUUUCAUGUCCUCGAGAAUAAAAUAAUACAUAUCUCUGGGACGAGCUGUGACAGGUUAACCAAACAAGAAAAUUCAUAAAUUCUAGAAAAUAAAAUCCCUUCAUUUAAAUUCCCUCAUUUUAAAUUUCCGUAGUCAUCUUAAAUUUCUUCAUCCAAACAUAGUGUUACUGUCGUUAAUUAACAUCGCAAGUAUUCAUUCACAUUCCAUCUAAAUUAAAUUGCACAUGAAGGUCACACACACGUAAAAACAAUACAAAUUAAAUGGCUUUUUUAGAUUCAUAUCAGCCUCGUGUCAAACUUCUGGACAAAACCUUAACGAAAGACUUAAAUGUGAAAAUGGUCUCUAUGUUAUAGCCAUAUGGCUAAUUUAGUCCCUGUGUUUUCGAUUUGGUUAAUUUAGUCCAUGUGUUUGUUUCUGUUAGCUAAUUAAUGACAUUUCAUUCAAUCUCUUUUAAAAAAUUCAUAAGAAAAAUUAUAUGAGAUAUAAUUACCCUUUCUCAUUACAUAAAAAUACAAAUCAAUGAGAAAUAACACAUGUAAGAGAUAAAAGCUUCCAAUCUGAAAAAUGAUUGAGGUUGUGACAUAGAAAAGGGAGGGGGUAAUGUUAGGGAGGAGGUCAAGGAGUUGGUAGGAGAAUAAUUUUCCU